rnacentral:lncRNA from 1 species
AGAUUUAGACUUACAGCCUUCAUUCUCCUGUCCUGAUUCACAAAGCAAAAGGGAGUUUUGCCAGUGUUCACUUCCAUGUGAUUUACAGGCUAAAGUCAGAAGAUCAUCAAAGAGGAAAGGGGGAGAGCAGCAGUUCCCGGCCUCAGCACAGACCUGCCCUAUGUACUGCUGUCGGCAGAGAUCCUCCAGACCAAAGGUACCACAAGACUUACCUGCAGCAGACAUUGGAAGUAGCACUGUUAGCCUUGUUCCUCUCCGAGGGCUGUACUCCUUGUAAAUACAGCUUGUUCCGAUACAUGCUUUCUAAUUUUGCCAUGGUCUCCAAGUGGGCGUUCUUCAGCUCUU